rnacentral:misc_RNA from 1 species
AAGUCGUAACAAGGUCUCCGUAGGUGAACCUGCGGAGGGAUCAUUAACACGUUUUUAACUAAACAAACCAAAACUUUACUGUGAACCGAAAACAAAACUUUUUUUUUAACACCCAAUAAACAACAAGCCAUGAACAGCACACUGUCGGUCUUCGGACUGUUCAGAUAGUUGUACUAAUCAACCAAAACCUUGAGAUUUCUGUACAGCUUAAUCGCGUAUAAAGUCUGAUGGUUUAUAUCUAAAACUAAAAGAACAACUCUUAGCAAUGGAUAUCUUGGUUCUC